CCUACGGGGGGCAGCAGUGGGGAAUAUUGCACAAUGGGCGCAAGCCUGACGCAGCCAUGCCGCGUGUGUGAAGAAGGCCUUCGGGUUGUAAAGCACUUUCAGCGGGGAGGAAGGCGUUAAGGUUAAUAACCUUGUCGAUUGACGUUACCCGCAGAAGAAGCACCGGCUAACUCCGUGCCAGCAGCCGCGGUAAUACGGAGGGUGCAAGCGUUAAUCGGAAUUACUGGGCGUAAAGCGCACGCAGGCGGUCUGUCAAGUCGGAUGUGAAAUCCCCGGGCUCAACCUGGGAACUGCAUUCGAAACUGGCAGGCUAGAGUCGUGUAGAGGGGGGUAGAAUUCCAGGUGUAGCGGUGAAAUGCGUAGAGAUCUGGAGGAAUACCGGUGGCGAAGGCGGUCCCCUGGACAAAGACUGACGCUCAGGUGCGAAAGCGUGGGGAGCAAACAGGAUUAGAUACCCUAGUAGUC
rnacentral:rRNA from 1 species